UUGGACUUUGGACAGAAUGACAUCAUAGAACCAUCUGGCUUGUCGACGUUGCUGGCAGCAAAAAAAAAGUAGGAUGGGCGAUCGCACAGGCUGAACAACAAAAAAAACCUUCAGCAGCUACCGCUCCGGUCACAGUUUGCCACACUUUUGACAAAAGAACAAAUGCCUUCAUUUACCCGUCACUCCAAAAAGAUGAGAACUACAUCAGAUCGAGAAGUAAAAGCAACGGACACUGUGGACCACGUUAUCUACAUUUUACCAACGGGAACAACGACACAAGUCAAAUGCACCGCUGGGGCAGCUGGAGUCAAAAAAGGUUGCACCACGGCAUGAAAAGCAGGUUAAAGUGUCCAGGAAAAUAAAAUGCUGAGUGUGCCAAGAUCUCCAGCGAUCUACUGCAGUUUGUUGUGCGGCCUGACAGCAGGUACUGUAUAUUAUACAUGAUAUUAUACAUCAUGUCUGUCUUGUUUUUUGUUCUUGUUUUUCCCGGGUUUGAUUGGAAUGUUUUCUCGAGAUAAAUCCCUCUUCACAUUGCAAACCAAGUCUACCUACGGGUACAAAUAAAGUGAACCUGAACCUGAAACACAAACACCCUCAAAGUUGAAAGCUGGUUCCCCACAGACAGCCUUCCUGAAUGUGCCAGACGGAGAGCAGUCCUAACCGUCUUCCUGACUUUCGCCUCUGAGGGGGGAAAACAAAUAGGAACGGGUCUGAAAAGCAACUGGAGCCAACCCUAUAACAUGUCCCACUGUAUUUUAAUACCGCCACAAAUCAACAGGCUCUUUAAGCUGCCACUCGUUACCACACAUGGUCAAAAACAUACCGAAGUGUGAACAGGGAUACGCUUUCACCGGCUACAUGUUUUACGCCAGUCGAGUGAAAACACACGGGCAACUAAUUAGAUAUAGUUAGACUAAUGUUGGUAAUAGUUAUGGAAAACAACAUCCGUGUCCUUGUGAGAUACUGCUGACCCCGGAGCCAUAAAUCUGAGAAUGUAAGACAAGCGAAACACAUAAAAGCUAGUUUUAGAACCAGCACAUGUUACUUUACUGCCCCGACAACAAACACGCCAGCUUGGUCAUUCUUCAGUGUUUUACAAGAUGUAAAAAGAAGAAACUAAAUAAACUGAAUAAUCAUACAUGCUGGUCAGCGCUGUACUCAUUGAGCACAAUUAUUAUGGCUCGUAUUACUUACUUUUAAUGGUUUGUAUUACUUACUUUUAAAGGGUAUGUUCUUCUUAAAUUUAAAAUGCUGUGCUGUAACUUUGCAUCGUGUGUAUUUAUCCUGUACUAUUUGUUAUUGUUUUAUGUCAGGGGCUACAUAUGUACAUUUGCUGAAGCUACACUCUGGUGCAUCGAAUGGUGACAUUUAUGUUUUAACUGUACAUGGUCCCUUUUAAAUAAAGAUAAUAAUAAUAAUAAUAAUACUCUGGAACCACUAAACUGAUAUGCUAUUUUUAUGAAAUACUUCCAUACAUACUUCUAGAAAUCAUAUAAAAAUCAGUAAAAAAUCAGUAAAAAUCUGGUGCAAUUAAAAAAUAUAUAUAUAUAAUAAUUUAUAAACAUGACGUACAUGAAGUAUAGACUUGACAGUAUUGAUGAAGCAAAAGAAGUAACAGAUUAUGGGGACAAGUGCUUGAAUUUAUGGUUUGUUUGUUUUGUUUUAUAUAUAUAUACAUAUAUAUAUAUAUAUAUGCUUCUUUGGAAUAAGUUUUUUUUUAAGCAAUCAUAGGUUAGGGCAUUUAUAAGCUAGAUAGCUUCAGCCUUAACCCUUUCGGUCAGCCACAUGUAUCUUUCUGCUUUUGUUUAUUACUGAUGGUUGUAUAUUUUGCUGAUCGAAAUAAAUAAACUCAUAAAAAAAGUCA